rnacentral:rRNA from 1 species
UACGUAGGGUGCAAGCGUUGUCCGGAAUUAUUGGGCGUAAAGAGCUCGUAGGCGGUUUGUCGCGUCUGCUGUGAAAACUCGGGGCUGAACUCCGGGCCUGCAGUGGGUACGGGCAGACUAGAGUGCGGUAGGGGAGACUGGAAUUCCUGGUGUAGCGGUGAAAUGCGCAGAUAUCAGGAGGAACACCGGUGGCGAAGGCGGGUCUCUGGGCCGUAACUGACGCUGAGGAGCGAAAGCGUGGGGAGCGAACAGG